AGGCGUUUUCCGGGUUCCUUGCUGUCUCUGUGAAUUCCCAGAGAGAAAGCCAGAUUGCGCGGAUAAUUCUAAGGAAAAUCGCGUUCCUGAGUCCUAGCAGAAGAAAAAUAUUUUCCGCCUAUACCAUUGGUUGCUACAGGUUCUUUUUGUUUGUUUUUUUUGUUUUCACUUUUUGACAGCUAAUUUCAACUGCUAUUGCCUAAGAAAAAAGUGCAAUAGCUUUCGGAAACCAAGAAAGCUUCUUUCUAGUUCAGCUGUACCACAUAAUUUAUUGUCAUUCCAACUUACUUUAGGAACGUAUUGUGAGACAAAUAGGAAAAAAAAACAGGGAAAUGGUAUCCCAAAUGAGUCUGGUUAACUUGGUUGCACAUCGCACUAGUUGUCAUGGAAUGGAAAGCUGCAGCGUUAAGACAGUUCCAUCAUUCAGCCAGGAAAAGGAAGUAAGUAUACAAUUCUAAUAACUAUUAUCAUCUUAUUACCCCUAGGAAUGCCUGCGUUCUGCUGUUGCUGCUAGUGUGGAUGUUCUACGUCCCAUUUGAAACAAUUAAUGGCAACAGGAGUUGUCCGACUAGUUACAAAAGCCUUUUUAGUGAUUAUUCAGGCAGCUUGUAUUGAGCAUCCAUCGUAGAGGAAAAUACAG